GAUGAACGCUGGCGGCGUGCCUAACACAUGCAAGUCGAGCGAUUCUCUUCGGAGAAGAGCGGCGGACGGGUGAGUAACGCGUGGGUAACCUGCCCUGUACACACGGAUAACAUACAGCAAGGUCUGCUAGUACGAGAUAAUCGACUUUUAUCGCAUGGUAGAAGUAUCAAAGCUCCAGCGGUACAGGAUGGACCCGCGUCUGAUUAGCUAGUUGGUAAGGUAACGGCUUACCAAGGCGACGAUCAGUAGCCGACCUGAGAGGGUGAUCGGCCACAUUGGAACUGAGACACGGUCCAAACUCCUACGGGAGGCAGCAGUGGGGAAUAUUGCACAAUGGGCGAAAGCCUGAUGCAGCAACGCCGCGUGAGCGAUGAAGGCCUUCGGGUCGUAAAGCUCUGUCCUCAAGGAAGAUAAUGACGGUACUUGAGGAGGAAGCCCCGGCUAACUACGUGCCAGCAGCCGCUGUAACAC
rnacentral:rRNA from 1 species